rnacentral:rRNA from 1 species
GAUGAACGCUAGCGAUAGGCUUAACACAUGCAAGUCGAGGGGCAGCACAGGGUAGCUUGCUAUCUGGGUGGCGACCGGCGCACGGGUGCGUAACGCGUAUGCAACUUGCCCUAUACAGGAGGAUAACCCGUCGAAAGACGGACUAAUACUGCGUAUGCUCACAACUUGGCAUCAAGUGGUGAGGAAAGAAAUUCGGUAUAGGAUAGGCAUGCGUCCCAUUAGCUUGUUGGUGAGGUAACGGCUCACCAAGGCAACGAUGGGUAGGGGAACUGAGAGGUUUAUCCCCCACACUGGUACUGAGACACGGACCAGACUCCUACGGGAGGCAGCAGUGAGGAAUAUUGGUCAAUGGGCGCGAGCCUGAACCAGCCAAGUCGCGUGAAGGAUGACUGUCCUAUGGAUUGUAAACUUCUUUUAUACGGGAAUAACAAGAGUCACGUGUGACUCCCUGCAUGUACCGUAUGAAUAAGCAUCGGCUAACUCCGUG